GGGCGCGUGGCGGAAUUGGUAUACGCGUACGCUUCAGAAGCGUAUGAGGCAACUCUUGGGAGUUCAAGUCUCCCCGCGCCCA
rnacentral:tRNA from 1 species